ACUCCUACGGGAGGCAGCAGUGGGAAUAUUGCACGAAUGGGGGAAACCCUGAUGCAGCCAUGCCGCGUGUGUGAAGAAGGCCUUCGGGUUGUAAAGCACUUUCAGUAGGGAGGAAGGCNAGUGUACGUUAAGACCUGCAUUAUUUGACGUUACCUACAGAAGAAGCACCGGCUAACUCCGUGCCAGCAGCCGCGGUAAUACGGAGGGUGCGAGCGUUAAUCGGAAUUACUGGGCGUAAAGCGCAUGCAGGCGGCCUGUUAAGUCAGAUGUGAAAGCCCGGGGCUUAACCUCGGAAUUGCAUUUGAAACUGGCAGGCUAGAGUCUUGUAGAGGGGGGUGAG
rnacentral:rRNA from 1 species